UACGAAGGGGGCUAGCGUUGCUCGGAAUUACUGGGCGUAAAGGGCGCGUAGGCGGAUAGUUCAGUCGGGGGUGAAAGCCCGGGGCUCAACCUCGGAACUGCCUUCGAUACUGGCUAUCUUGAGUACGGGAGAGGUGUGUGGAACUCCGAGUGUAGAGGUGAAAUUCGUAGAUAUUCGGUAGAACACCAGUGGCGAAGGCGACACACUGGCCCGUUACUGACGCUGAGGCGCGAAAGCGUGGGGAGCAAACAGG
rnacentral:rRNA from 1 species